rnacentral:lncRNA from 1 species
AAUAGGAAUUACUUGGGUUUCCUUGAGUUUCACAUGGCAGGGGUGUGGGUGAUUUAGGCUAGUGAUUAUUCAAGACACAGGGUGUGAUUGGACUUUAUGAUUUGGAAGGAUUACACUUUCUUAUGAAGUGGGUGUUUAAUUUCUCUUCAUUUUUAACCCAUUCUUUGUAAAUGCUAAAAUUACAAAUUAUCAUGCCUUUGGUCUGUGGCGUAGGACAAUCUGUGCUCGUUUUCUCCCGCCUUGGCUCAGAUUAACCACUUUUCUCAAGUACUACUCAUGCUACAAAAAAAAAAUCUGACUUUUCCUUUUCAAAUAGUUCACACGAGCGUGUGCGCACACUCGGGCAGGGAUGUGUGUUUCGUAACAGGUUUCUGUGCCUGUGACUCAGAGCUGAGCUAUUAAGCCAUAACACAUGGCUGACAUCUGGAACUCACUUGCAAGCUUUUCUCAUUCGAAUAUUGGUAGCCACAGCUCUCUACUCUCCUUCUCUCCAAGACGUAGCCACGCUUUCUCUAUCCACACCUCAUGGAACAGAGGAAGGAGAUGUUGGAAUGCGGAACGAUGGCAGGGCAGCUGCAGUGGCCUCCACACAGCCAGAGCAAUACUAAUGCAGUCGGUUUUGUCAUCUCUCCAAGGGACCAUAUGGCUUUCUUCAUGUGCCACUGCACCUUUAUCUCAGCAGAAUCCUAAAGCCCACAAAUGCCCCAUCACUGUGCACUUUGCAGCAGGGACACCCCACAGGCUCCUAGGCACUGCUGCCUGGAGUACUGGAUGGAGCCUCAUCAGGAUGGCUCUGGACAGAGAGGAUGAAGAUAGCUGGAGGUGUGUAAGAUACUCUUUAUCUAAAUAAAGCAGAUGUGGGAUCUUGAAGUGUGCUAAGCGUUGAAAUGAUCAAUGCAUUGCUCUCAGCUCCUGAGCACUAGUUGAGACUUACAGGGGAGAGAGUGUGGAGACACUGGUGGGACGGUCCAAGGUCUGAUCAUGAGGUGGAGCUUGUUCUCCUGCUCUCCACAAUCCCCUUGUUUCACAGCAGGCAUCUUUCUUCACCAGCCCAAGUCCAUUCCUGGCUCC